UCGCCUGUUUAUCAAAAACAUCGCCUCCUGCAAUAAGACAAUAUAGGAGGUCCAGCCUGCCCAGUGACUAUUAGUUAAACGGCCGCGGUAUUCUGACCGUGCAAAGGUAGCGUAAUCACUCGUCCUUUAAAUGGGGUCAAGUAUGAAAGGCUAAACGAGGGCUUAACUGUCUCCCCCUCCCGGUCAGUGAAAUUGAUCUGUCCGUGCAGAGGCGGACAUAAAGAUACAAGACGAGAAGACCCUUUGGAACUUUAGGUACAGAACUUAGCCAUGUUGAGCAAGUCAAUAAAAACGCUAUCCCCGAUGGUAUUAAGACUCUACCUUCGGUUGGGGCGACCAUGGAGCAAAAAGAAACCUCCAAGUGGAAUGAGGAGACCCUUAGAACUGAGAGAGCCAUCUCUAAGUCACAGAAAUUCUGACCAGAAAUGAUCCGGCCAGUUGGCCGAUAAGCGGACCAAGCUACCCUAGGGAUAACAGCGCAAUCCCCUCCCAGAGCCCAUAUCGACGAGGGGGUUUACGACCUCGAUGUUGGAUCAGGACAUCCUAAUGGUGCAGCCGCUAUUAAGGGUUCGUUUGUUCAACGAUAAAAGUCCUACGUGAUCUGAGUUCAGACCGG
rnacentral:rRNA from 1 species